GCGAGGCGGCGGGUGCGGGGGGGGUGGGGGCGGCCGUUGAGGCUGCGCGCGCGCUGGCGCCGGGCUCGAGCCGGCGGCGUCUCCCUUCCCUUCCCUCAGUCCCGCGCGGCGGCCGUGGCGGCAGCAGCAAGCUCGGGAGCGGUGCCACCUCCUCCUGCUCUUCGUCCUCGCUCUCCCCUCCGGGGCACGAUGCAGUUUAUGUUGCUUUUUAGUCGCCAGGGGAAACUGAGACUCCAGAAGUGGUAUGUCCCACUAUCUGACAAAGAAAAGAAGAAAAUCACAAGGGAACUUGUUCAAACAGUAUUAGCCCGCAAACCGAAAAUGUGCAGCUUCCUGGAAUGGAGAGACCUGAAGAUUGUCUACAAAAGAUAUGCAAGCCUCUAUUUCUGCUGUGCCAUUGAAGAUCAGGACAAUGAACUAAUAACUCUGGAAAUAAUUCAUCGUUAUGUAGAACUUCUUGACAAGUAUUUUGGCAGUGUAUGUGAACUUGAUAUCAUCUUCAAUUUUGAAAAAGCCUAUUUUAUUCUGGAUGAGUUUCUCUUGGGAGGGGAGGUCCAGGAGACUUCCAAAAAAAAUGUUCUCAAAGCCAUUGAACAGGCAGAUCUUCUACAGGAGAGCCAGAAUGAAGACUGGGGAGGUUUGUCUGAGGAUAUCUUAUGAUUAAGAGCAAUCUAAGACAUUAGCCCUUUUGACCCCCAUCUAGACGAUUGGAAGCAGAGACCCCACGUAGUGUACUUGAAGAAAUUGGAUUGACAUAAGUCUUCACUUCAGCUGAUGACAUCUCAGUGUUUCAUACUGUAAAUGUUCACUGCCUUCAUUGUAAUGUUUAGCUAAUGGUGUAAGAUGCUGUUUGUCAGUAUUACUGUUUUGCUAAGCUGCUUCAUUCAGGCCUACAAGGGAAAUACUCCUUUGAAAAGGGAACGAGAAAUUAAGGCCAAAAAUCAUAAACGAAAGGGAAUUUGAUUUAAAUUGACUCAGUGUCUCUUCUCACUGCAUUUAUAGAAAAAAAAAAUGCAUUUAAUUUCAAUAAGUGUACUGUUUUUAUAAGCAAAUGACUUCAGGAGAUAAAUGUAUCGUUGACAUAACAUAUCUAAAUGAAAAGAAUACAUGGACACCUUCAAGUAUGAAAUGUUGUAGAAAUUGUGUUUAUGCAACCAAAGACUUUUUGUUCAUCUGCAUUUUUAGUAAAUAGUUGCCAUAAUUCUGCUUUUAUUCAGUUAACGCGUUAAAUUGGAAAUAACUGUUUACUUCUGAAUUUGCCAUUAUACCAAAGAAUCCUGUUAGGAUCUGCAUAUCCAACUGGUUAAAACUGUUAAGGUGGCAUUGCUUUUUGCAAGACAACUGCAAACUGAUCAUUUACUAGCAGUGAAAGUGUAUUUACAUGUAAUUAUCUUGAUGAAAACUGUGCAAGUUACUAUAUUAAAAAGGGAAUGCAUGUAGUUUAAAAAAAAGAAAAAAGAAAAAAUAUCAAAAUGGGGAAACUAUUUUUAAACCAGUACUGGCUUGCUCUGAACAUAGGCACACAAAAAAAAGGGAAGUAGCCUUUUUGACUGUAUAGAGAGGUACGUAAUGAAAAUGGGAUACUUUUGAACAUGGGAGCUUUACAAAAGGGAGUUUUUAUGAUUUUCUUUUGAAUUCUACAAAUUAAUUUGUAUUUAUUCGCGUUUUGUAGUUACGCUUUAAUGGGUGUCUGAGCACCUUUAAGAAAAAGCAUCAGCUUAAUUUUGACUACUUUUCUCGACUUACUCCUUUCCCAUGUGGCACAUCCCAUAAGUACUGUGCAGUAGAACCAACUAAUUUGCAGUGAGAAUUUUGUACACUACGUUCACUGCAAAUUGGGGGAAGUGAAAUGAAGUAACAGUUCAACAUUUUGUGCAGACUCUCAGAAGUUGUACACUAGAACUGUUUCACUUGAAGGAGUUCAUUUGAUGUGUGCUUUUGAGUUCUGGGAAGGUAGCAGCACACUUUGGAGUAGCAGUGCUACUGUGCGUGUGUGUGGUCCCUGAGAAUGUUCAGCUUUCUUUCUUUCUCCUCCCAUCCCAGGAACUUCGUUUAGAAUUCAGAUAAGUAGCGCCAUGUACGUUUUCACAAAACUUGGCUUUGGCAUUGGUGUUGGAAGCAGUCGUGUGGUGCUAGCACAAGCAGUUUCACAGCCAGCUGUGGCUCAAUCUGAUCUAGACUAAAUGUAACCCACCAGCAAAAGGCUGGCACUGACACUCAUUCCCUGAUCCAGAUCCAGGUAGCGGUGCUGGUGGCAGCAAAGGGGCUGACCAGUGCAGAGGGGGGCCGGGUCUGGGGCUGCAGCUUCAGUAGCUGUGCCCGAGUGGAGCCUAAGAACCUGCAGCAUGCAAACUUGUCCGUUUAAGCCAUUUCUGGGAUUUAAAUAUACCAGAUUACUCGAGACCAUGUUUAAGGGAAGGCACACAAAAGCAGUCGUUAGCAUUUUCCCGGUGCACAAGGGCAGGGAUAGGAUGAGGUUCAUGUGGUGCUAGAAUGACCCUUGGUGUGAGACUGAAGUUGUGAAAUUACCUUAAGUCAAACCUGAAGCGAUUUCCUAUGUAUUAAACAUUUUUGAAGUUUACACUGUCACUUGUAUGUGCUUGGCUGGGUUAAGCUUUGUUGUGAUUGUGACAAAUAAACUGUUUGACCUUUGUCGUACUGUCCCAUUGGUUUAGUUGUAAUAAAUGUCCAUUUUUACACCGUUGCUUUGUGCUUAUAUGUAAUUAGUUCUGAUUUUCUGCAGAGGGGGUGGAAGAAAAAAAGCAACUCAUUGCUAGUUUAAAAAAGGGGGAAUUUUAUUACAGUGCUUAACUUGCUCUUGAGCACUUUAUUAAAAAAUGUGCGAGAAUACUGUGUCCAAGAUUAGUUAUUUACAUCCAUUUAAAUUCUACAGAAAGCAAUAAAUUAGCGAGUUCUUUGGAAGGCUUAUCACAUUAAACAUGGAAUUUAUUAGAAAGGAUGGUAAAAUGAUGUGGUUGUCCCAUUUCAUUUGAAAUUAAACCACAAAACUGAUUGAGAGAGGGUUCUAGAUGAUGAUGAUACAGUCUCGCUAGUCAGCUCCUCAAAUGGAAUUAUGAACAUGGCUGUGCAGCAUUCACAGUCUUACAACCCUUAUUUCAGACCCAAAUUUCUCUUGGCUAAUCUGCUUUCCGGCUUUCUAGAACUGAACUCCUUGAUGUUACCAGCAAAAGCAUGGGGAAAUCUUAGUACCUUAGGGCAUUCCUUCAGUCAGAUGCGAAAGUAAUAUUUAGUUUCUUGAAUUUCCUGUCUUACCAAGAGACAAAUGAAAAGAGAAGCGAAAAGCAUCUGUUAGAAUUUCUAGAUUGUUUAGGCUUAGAUUGUUUGCUUGAGUGUCUUCAGUGUAAUCAUGGAAUCUUUGUUGAAGAUUCCUAACUGUCUGCUGUUCCCUUUGAGUCAACAGCGUAAUGAUGGUCAUGCUGUGGCUGCCUUUGUCAAUUAAUGCGUUCAUGGGCUGUGCCUGUACAGCUUCCCUUCCAAUCAGUCUCAUAGUUUUCUGAACUGUAGUUUGUCAGUUACCUUUUAUUUAUUUCUUUACGUGUCAGUGACAGAUGCUGCACUCAGCUGAUGCAUCAGAGCUGAAUAAAAGGAUGGAUGGAAUAAUAGGGAGUUAUUUUAAUCACAGCAAGCUUACAGUGAAAGCAGAAUCAGUGGCACUCUUUGUAAGUGUAAUUUGUUUUCGUAUAUCAUUUAAUUUUUUGACUAGCAUAGACUUCCACAUUUUGCAAAAGGUGCUGAUUCAGGGCAGGAAGUAAGAGCAUCUCUGAGCAGGCUCUUGCAUUUCUUCUGAAAGCCAUUAUUUGUGCAUCCCAAGAAUGCUGCAACUGGUUCAAGUAAAUAAAUACACUGAAUGUGGUAAUGCGCAGCUGAAUCUGAGAAAGACAUCCUACUGAAGGAUGUAAUGCUGAAGAAGUUACUUAGAAUACAUUUCAGACUGUCUGUUUCCAUCAGCAAGGGAAAGGCCUUCAUCUGUGCUUGUUGCCUCUUCAUGAAAGUGGAUGCCUUGCGUCUAGCAUAUGAGUGUGGGCAAGUCCUCCUGACGCCCGUGUGAUAAUGGCUACUCAGCUAGCAUGGCAACCAUGCUGGGAAGGGAAAAGACUUCAAAGCAGUCACCAGCACAAACCUAAAGGUGUGCUGCCUUCCCAGGUGCCUUUGUCUCUCCUGUUGCAGGACACCUGCUGUCUUAUUAUCUGGAAACAUUUUGGGUAAGCACCUGGAGUUGGACGAUUUUUAUGAAGUAGCUGGACUUCAACAUCCAAGUUCCUGCUCAGAUACCUUACUCCUCUCCACAGGAGAAUGGUCAGAGCAGCGCCUGUUACUGAUCCUGACCUCCCAGCUGGCUGGACCUGGCAGGAGAGCCCCGCUGCUGCUCUAACCCCCUUCAUGCAGCUCUUGUAUAAAUAAUGCUUUCAUCAUCAAUCCAAAGCACUUUAGUGAUAUUUACAAACUUCAUAAUAAAGUUUGAAAGCAGCUGCUUUAAGCAGUCAUUCAAAAGAUAAAAGCACACAUAAAGCUGGACCACCAUUAAUUCACUUUACAUAGUCCUUCUAUGUGGAUUACACAGAAUAGCACAAAGUGAGAACAAGCUAUUCCUUGCAAAUCUAAAUCCAUCCUAAGUUGUUCUGGGCUUUUCUCCUUUGGAGAAAGAAGCUUAACGUUUAGGAAUUCUAGUUGCCUCGUCUCUUCCGAGUAAAUAGCUCACUUAGCUAAUAAGGAAAGAAAACCAUGCAUACGAUACUACUUAAGAUUAUGAAGUAGGGAAACAACACCAAAAUAUAUGAACUUUUACAUUUGAAAACUGGUUGAAUUCCAGGUUUCAUGCUAACAAAAGCAAACAAAAUGUCAGAUCUACAGCACUUGUUUUGGUGCAAUAAGCAGACAGGAUGUGAAACUGAAUAGUUACAGCUACCAGUCCUACAGCGCACAGGUACAGCCAGGGAGUUUGGAUCCAGAUCUCACGAAAAGCAGCUGAAGGUUUGGCCGUUAGAGUAGCAGAAAUAAAGUACAUUUAAAUUUUACAUGCAUCUCUGAGCAAGUUUUUAUUAUUAUUAUAAGAACUUUUUUUAAAAAAAUACAGCUGCUCAGCUUCCCAGAUCCCAUUACAAAAGUGGGGAGAAGGAGCCUUAUUACCUGUGGAAUUCUCACGUGGGUCUUAGUUGGCACAUGGUUGCUAAUCCUAUAGAGGUCCGCUUCACUUAUUUCACCCGGCUUGUCACAGAUUUCACAAAAACAGCAUCCCACCACACCUGCUUCACUUCUGGUUGAGCUUGGUAAUUUAUUUCCCUCACACAACCCUCAGCAACAGCCUGCCGCACGGCACAGGCUAUACAACACACUACAGAUAGAGUAAAUCUUUCCUAUUCAAGAGCCUCAACCAGCAGGCUGGUUCAGCAGAAUUCCAGUUGCAGGAAGCAAGGCAGCACCAGUGAUGUGAGGAUCUUACUGGCCUGUUAGCAAUGCAUCUCAGCAAGCAGGGAAUGCCAGCUCAGCUGCGUGAAUUUGCCACAUUUUGCAUAAGUACCCCAACUAGACAAGUGAGCAUCCAUGAAAAAAUAGAAACCCUGGGGAAAAUCUGUACAGUGUAGUCAGAAAAGAUACAUUAUGAGAAACCCAUCGUCUCAAAUUUCUCCUAUAUAAUUUAAAACUUAGUGUCGUCCAUUGAAAUAUGCCUUUCAGGUGAAGUUACUAUUACUUCAAAAGUUAUGCCAUUAAAUCACAAUUCCUAUAUCUGUUAAUAAUUAAAACAUCUAAUCAAAUUAACUAAGCUACCGUUCUGUCUACAGUUAUGACAACAUAUAAUGAAAGUUGGGUUUGAACUGAACAACAACAUAUAGCACUUUUGUUGAAUUACUCCAUAGUGGACAACAGUUAUACAUGAAAAAAGAAAAAAAGUAUCAUCAGCAUGCUAGGUGCAAUAUGCAUUUAGAAAAGAAAAAAAAAAAAAAUUUUAAA